rnacentral:rRNA from 1 species
UACGGGGGGAGCAAGCGUUGUUCGGAUUUACUGGGCGUAAAGGGCGCGUAGGCGGCCAGCACAAGUCAGUUGUGAAAUCUCCGAGCUUAACUCGGAAAGGUCAACUGAUACUGUGCGGCUAGAGUGCAGAAGGGGCAACUGGAAUUCUUGGUGUAGCGGUGAAAUGCGUAGAUAUCAGGAGGAACACCGAUGGCGAAGGCAGGUCUCUGGGCUGACACUGACGCUCAUGCACGAAAGCGUAGGGG